UGGGAUUACAGGUGUGAGCCACCGCACCCGGCCUCUGUUCUGCAUUCUAUUCUGAGUUACAACCACACAGAAUUCCUUGUCAUCUUUGAACAUAUUCUGCUUUUUUUUCUUUCUUAUCAUGCUCUCCCACACAGUCUUCUUUGAAGACUAUUUCUCCUCCGACUUCUCCUGGCAAAUUUUGACGUCUUUCAGAACCUAGUUUUGUAGCCACUUCUUCUGUGAAGGCUUCCUCAGACAGAGUUAUGAUGGCUUCCUGGGAUGCCAAUAGCAUCCUCAGGGCGAGAUUAAUACAGGCACAAGGUGUGACAGUCUAGCCUUACUCAAGAGCAUGAAAAUCAGGAGGUGAGAAUCACUGGAGGACAUCUUGGAGAUUGGCUACCAUAGCCUGGAUUAAGAGAAGGAAAAAACCAGAAAGAUCAUAGGGACAAAUCUACACAAAAAUUAAUUGGUAUGGCUCAGGAUGGGUGGGGGUGAGUGGUUCAGGACCAAGGAUAUGAACAAUAUAAUGGAGACAGGUCAUACUCUGUGUGGCUAUGGUUGUGUGGUUAAAGGUAGGGAUAUAUGACAUGAGGUAUCUCUCUGUAUGGACAAAUUUUCUUUGGAAACUUGAAUUCUCAGUGUGAAAGACUAGACGAAUGUAGACAGCAUGGAUAGCAUUCAGCUUAAAUAUGCAGAUGGGGGAAAUGUAUAAAUGAAGCAAAUUCUUCAGAAUAAAGUUUAAAAGUUAACAAUUUGGUCAGCCAAAGAUACAAAAGACAAUGUAUUUCAGAUAAUGCCAACAACUAGACGAAGAGAUGAUGUCACAAAAUGGAAUCUGCAAUUCAAGUAGAAAUAAAAGAUGUUGUGGUAAUGAGAAAGUAAUAAAGACCUGGUUUGAUCUUCAAGGAGAACUACAAACCACUGCUCAAGGAAAUAAAAGAGGAUACAAACAAAUGGAAGAACAUUCCAUGCUCAUGGGUAGGAAGAAUCAAUAUCAUGAAAAUGGCCAUACUGCCCAAGGUAAUUUACAGAUUCAAUGCCAUCCCCAUUAAGCUACCAAUGCCUUUCUUCACAGAAUUGGAAAAAACUACCUUAAAGUUCAUAUGGCCCCAAAAAAGAGC
rnacentral:lncRNA from 10 species